rnacentral:rRNA from 1 species
CCUGAGAAACCCAAAAGAUCGAAUGGGGAGAUUCAUCGUCAGCUCAUUUUGUAUAUGUAUAAGUUAUGAUGCGGGUUACUACUUGUAGUAUUGCCUGCACAUUCUUAUAUAUUUAGUUGCAAGAUGUUGUCGGCGUGCACUUCUCCCCUAGUAGGACGUCGCGACCUGUUGGGUGUCGGUCUACGGCCCAAGUGAUAGCCUUUAAUGUAAUUCAAAAAACAUUGAAGAUCCUUGGUGUUUUCUGACCGGCUACUUGGCAGUAUUCGUACGGUAUUUAGCCGCUAAAUUUAUUAAGCGUCCAUAUCCAUCACAAGCGAGGCUCAUUUACUGAUAGUAUGGACCUAGUGCCGUCGUUGGUAUUGGCCAGCUGUUGGUUGAUGGUAUUCUAGGACUGGCUAAAAUUAA